rnacentral:misc_RNA from 1 species
GAUGAAGAACGUAGCGAAAUGCGAUACUUGGUGUGAAUUGCAGAAUCCCGUGAACCAUCGAGUCUUUGAACGCAAGUUGCGCCCGAAGCCACUAGGCCGAGGGCACGCCUGCCUGGGCGUCACACGCCGUUGCCCCCCCAUCUACUCCUUCGGGAUUGCGGGGGGGCGGAUGAUGGCCUCCCGUGCUCCUAGCCGCGCGGUUGGCAUAAAUACCAAGUCCUCGGCGACGCACGCCACGACAAUCGGUGGUUGCGAAACCUCGGUUGCCCGUCGUGUGCGUUCGUCGCGCAUCGAGGGCUCGAAAAAAUGCUCGGCUCCGGCUGGGCUUUCAACGCGACCCCAGGUCAGGCGGGGUUACCCGCUGAAUUUAAGCAUAUCAAUAAGCGGAGGA